UACAGAGGUCUCAAGCGUUGUUCGGAUUCAUUGGGCGUAAAGGGUGCGUAGGCGGUCUGUCGCGUCGGAUGUGAAAACCCAGGGCUCAACCCUGGGCCUGCAUUCGAUACGGGCAGACUAGAGUUCGGUAGGGGAGACUGGAAUUCCUGGUGUAGCGGUGAAAUGCGCAGAUAUCAGGAGGAACACCGGUGGCGAAGGCGGGUCUCUGGGCCGAAACUGACGCUGAGGAGCGAAAGCGUGGGGAGCAAACAGG
rnacentral:rRNA from 1 species